rnacentral:rRNA from 1 species
UACGAAGGGGGCUAGCGUUGCUCGGAAUUACUGGGCGUAAAGGGAGCGUAGGCGGGUUAUCAAGUUGGGGGUGAAAGCCCGGGGCUCAACCUUGGAAUUGCCUUCAAAACUGAUAACCUGGAGUAUGGAAGAGGUAAGUGGAACUCCGAGUGUAGAGGUGAAAUUCGUAGAUAUUCGGAAGAACACCAGUGGCGAAGGCGACUUACUGGUCCAUUACUGACGCUGAGGCUCGAAAGCGUGGGGAGCAAACAGG